ACGGGGAGGUAGUGACAAAAAAUAACGAUACGGGACUCUUAUGAGGCCCCGUAAUCGGAAUGAGUACACUUUAAAUCCUUUAACAAGGAHCCAUUGAAGGGCAAGUCUGGUGCCAGCAGCCGCGGUAAUUCCAGCUUCAAUAGCGUAUAUUAAAGUUGUUGCGGUUAAAAAGCUCGUAGUUGGUUCUGCGUGCCACGCUGUCGGUUCGCCGCCUGCCGGUGUAACUGGCAUGCCGUGGCAUGUCCUGUCGGUGGCGUUCGGGAGCCUCGUUUAGGUGCCGGCCCAAGCCUCAAAGCUUGGUGCUCGGAGGCCGGGGGUAUACCCGUUCGCCUACUCUAUCCUACCUAGGUGCUCUUCACCGAGUGUCGAGGUAGGCCGACACGUUUACUUUGAACAAAUUAGAGUGCUCAAAGCAGGCUGAAAUCUCUGCCUGAAUAGUGGUGCAUGGAAUAAUAAAACAGGACCUUGGUUCUAUUUUGUUGGUUCUUAGGAACACAAGGUAAUGAUCAAUACGGACAGGCGGGGGCAUUCGUAUUGCGACGUUAGAAACCUCACCAGGCCAGGACAUUGGAAGGAUUGACAGAUUGAUAGCUCUUUCUUGAUUCAGUGGGUAGUGGUGCAUGGCCGUUCUUAGUUGGUGGAUCGAUUUGUCUGGUUAAUUCCGAUAACGAACGAGACUCUAGCCUAUUAACUAGGCGUUUUCCGGUGUCCCCGCCACCGGCGACAUUCAUUCUUCUUAAGGGGACAGGCGGCUUUUAGCCGCACGAGAUUGAGCAAUAACAGGUCUGUGAUGCCCUUAGAUGUCCUGGGCCGCACGCGCGCUACACUGAAGGAAUCAGCGUGUGCCUCCCUGGCCGAAAGGCCCGGGUAAUCCGCUGAACCUCCUGCGUGCUAGGAAUUGGGGCUUGCAAUUGUUCCCCAUGAACGAGGAAUUCCCAGUAAGCGCGAGUCAUAAGCUCGCGUUGAUUACGUCCCUGCCCUUUGUACACACCGCCCGUCGCUACUACCGAUUGAAUGAUUUAGUGAGGUCUUCGGACUGGCGGUAAUCCCUA
rnacentral:rRNA from 1 species